UGGAUUAAUUUAAGAAAAGAUGGCUAGAAACAAGCCAAGAGAAGGCCAGGCACUCAUAACUAAGAAUAAGCCUUCUAUGUUAGUUAUUUAGGAGCUGAGUGGUGCCCCGCCCCAGAAAAGGCCAAAAGAUGUCCCAUAGAGAGACUACAGUGCUGCUGCCCAUUUCUGCAUGAUUCUUGUGCAUUCUGCAAAACCACCCAGAACCAAGCGGUUUAUUUGGACCUAAUCCUGUACAUAUAUUCAUCUGAUGACCAAGUGCUGUUUUGUAGAACAAAGAAGGCCACUCUGCAUUGUGCCCAUGAUAUCUAGAGACAAGUUGACACAUGCAACAACAUUGAAUCUGUGGGAGACUUCAAAUUUUGUGAGUUUUUUUUCCUAGCACCUGGCAUGCAGUUUACACUAAUCACCACUUCUAGCCUACCAAGUUUAGGCAACACAAUAUCUCCAAUGCCUCUGACGAAAUGAACCUGUGGAUUUCUUGUAAACACGUGCAGUAAUCAGAAUCCCUGUGGACCUAAAGUAUGAGAAGUGAUAUAUUCCUGAAAUGAGACUGGUGCAGUUGUAUUACCACCUGAGAGCAACUGAGUCCUGAUGGUCUUUAGUAACAGAUACAGAGACAAAAGCAUUUUCUACCUCAAUAGCUGCAUGCCAGGUGGCAGCAUAUAUGUCAGUUUGUUCCAGCAAUGAAAUCACAUCUGGAACAGCAGGUGCAAUUGGAAUCACCACCUGCUUAAGAUUUUAUAACAUUCCAUUGUAUUUUCAAAACCCAUCUGUUUCCAACUUUUCAACAUAGGAGUUGAAUGGCAAUGUGGUGGACCUCACUAGCCUUCCAACUUUCAAGGCCUUGAAGUGGCUCCAAUCCCUGAAAUCCCUCCACAGACACAAAAUUGCUUUGGUUUCCUGCUUUCCUGUCAUGGUCACUGCAAGGGAUUUCACUGUCCUUCCUUCUGUUUCAGCCCUCACUCUACUGGUGAGGGAACCAGUGUAGGGAUUCUGCCAGAGGCUGAGAGUAUCUACUUUAAUAACCAUGCAUUCCAGAAGUAGGAGAAAAAAAUAGUACAGUAAGAUACAUCUGAGCUAAACCUUUUCAGUGAUCACUUGGUCUAUACAUCUUUACUUUGGCUGGCAGGACAAAUGACACCUGGGAUCUCCUGGAUUAGUGUCAGGUCAGUGUUCGAUGGUCAUAGGCAUGCUGGGUUACUUCUGUUCCCUCAGUGCAUAGCCACUUGGGUAAAAGUAUCUCCAGGCUGGGAAUUGAUUAAGGGGCAAUGACUCUUCUGCUUUGACGAUGGAAGUUAGUGGUCUUUCCUGCCUGACUAAGAAUAUACUACUUUAGUUAAUAAACAGUCCAUCUAUUUCUGUUUGAAGCACAAAACUCCAAGAGCAGGAUCUCCUUGAGAGUUCUGCCUGCUGCUUUCACUUUCUGUCUUUUAUGGUAUCCCCACCUAACUCCUAUUUGGUGAUUACGUGCCAUCACUCAGCUCUUUCUACUGUGGGAUUCACUAUCCCCACUGCCUAUAACGAUCCCAAUUUCAAGCCUGCUCUCCACAUCGCAAUUUCUUUUGAAAAUGUGUAUCUCUAGUUAAUUAUUUACAUGGCUGAUAAUAUUUAGUAUCACUGUGGAAGGAAACCUCUGAAUGAAAAGGAAAAGGCUAGUUAAGCACCAGCAUUUAUUCCCCUUUGCUCCCCGAGAGAGGAUGCAAUGUGACCGGCUGCCUCAAACCGCUGUCACCAUGGCUUCAUUGUCACAAUGGGUUAUGAGACAAAACACACCCUUUCCUCUUUAAGUUGCUUUUGCCAGGCAUUUGCCACAACAUUGUAUAAAGUAGCUAAUACAUGGCUGAACAAACUACUUGUUUUCAGAAUAAUGUCUUCACGGUAAAGAGUUAUGUGAGGCUUGUGUUCCUCACUCAUCCCAUCUUCCCCUCCUCUCCCCUCCAGCAGGUCAGCUGGUUCCCUCUAUCUUCUCAAAUAGUUUCCAUUCUGGCGUGCAUGCAUGCAUGCAUGCGUGUGUGCGUGAGUGCAUGCGUGCUUGUGUGUGUGUGUGUGUGUGUGUGUGUGUGUAAUCCUGAAUUCUUCAUGAGAGAAAACGUGAUAUAUUUGUCUUCCUUCCCAUUGCCCUCUUUUGUUCCUCUUCUCCUCGUCUCAGAUCCUUCAGUCCUCUUACUAAUUCCCCUUCUGUUCUCAUUUCUCUCUUCUCUCUCUCUCUCUCUCUCUCUCUCUCUCUCUCUCUCUCUC